GGGCCUGUAGCUCAGCGGUAGAGCACGGGGCUCAUAACCCCUUGGUCGCAGGUUCGAUCCCUGCCGGGCCUACCA
rnacentral:tRNA from 1 species